GAUGAACGCUAGCUACAGGCUUAACACAUGCAAGUCGAGGGGAAACGACAUCGAAAGCUUGCUUUUGAUGGGCGUCGACCGGCGCACGGGUGAGUAACGCGUAUCCAACCUGCCCAUCACUUGGGAAUAACCUUGCGAAAGUAAGACUAAUACCCAAUGACAUCCCACGAAGACAUCUGAAUGGGAUUAAAGAUUUAUCGGUGAUGGAUGGGGAUGCGUCUGAUUAGCUUGUUGGCGGGGUAACGGCCCACCAAGGCAACGAUCAGUAGGGGUUCUGAGUGGAAGGUCCCCCACAUUGGAACUGAGACACGGUCCAAACUCCUACGGGAGGCAGCAGUGAGGAAUAUUGGUCAAUGGGCGAGAGCCUGAACCAGCCAAGUAGCGUGCAGGAUGACGGCCCUAUGGGUUGUAAACUGCUUUUAUAAGGGAAGAAAGUGGGUCUCGUGAGACUUUUUGCAUGUACCUUAUGAAUAAGGACCGGCUAAUUCCGUG
rnacentral:rRNA from 1 species